rnacentral:rRNA from 1 species
AUUGAACGCUGGCGGCAUGCCUUACACAUGCAAGUCGAACGGUAACAGGUCUUCGGAUGCUGACGAGUGGCGAACGGGUGAGUAAUACAUCGGAACGUGCCCGAGAGUGGGGGAUAACGAAGCGAAAGCUUUGCUAAUACCGCAUACGAUCUCAGGAUGAAAGCAGGGGACCGCAAGGCCUUGCGCUCACGGAGCGGCCGAUGGCAGAUUAGGUAGUUGGUGGGAUAAAAGCUUACCAAGCCGACGAUCUGUAGCUGGUCUGAGAGGACGACCAGCCACACUGGGACUGAGGCACGGCCCAGACUCCUACGGGAGGCAGCAGUGGGGAAUUUUGGACAAUGGGCGCAAGCCUGAUCCAGCAAUGCCGCGUGCAGGAAGAAGGCCUUCGGGUUGUAAACUGCUUUUGUCAGGGAAGAAACGGGUUUGGCUAAUAUCCAGAUCUAAUGACGGUACCUGAAGAAUAAGCACCGGCUAACUACGUGCCAGCCGCCGCGGUAAGAC